rnacentral:rRNA from 1 species
UACGGAGGGGGCUAGCGUUGUUCGGAAUUACUGGGCGUAAAGCGCACGUAGGCGGCUUUGUAAGUUAGAGGUGAAAGCCCAGGGCUCAACCCUGGAAUUGCCUUUAAGACUGCAUCGCUUGAAUCAUGGAGAGGUGAGUGGAAUUCCGAGUGUAGAGGUGAAAUUCGUAGAUAUUCGGAAGAACACCAGUGGCGAAGGCGACUCACUGGACAUGUAUUGACGCUGAGGUGCGAAAGCGUGGGGAGCAAACAGGAUUAGAAACCCCCGUAGUCC